rnacentral:rRNA from 1 species
GACGAACGCUGGCGGCGUGCCUAAUACAUGCAAGUGGAACGCAUUUUAAUCACCGUAGCUUGCUACACCGAAUAAAAUGAGUCGCGAACGGGUGAGUAACGCGUAGGUAACCUACCUUCUAGCGGGGGACAACUAUUGGAAACGAUAGCUAAUACCGCAUAAGACAUUAUAUCGCAUGAUAGGAUGUUAAAAGAUACAAUUGUAUCACUAGGAGAUGGACCUGCGUUGUAUUAGCUAGUUGGUGAGGUAACGGCUCACCAAGGCAGCGAUACAUAGCCGACCUGAGAGGGUGAUCGGCCACACUGGGACUGAGACACGGCCCAGACUCCUACGGGAGGCAGCAGUAGGGAAUCUUCGGCAAUGGGGGCAACCCUGACCGAGCAACGCCGCGUGAGUGAAGAAGGUUUUCGGAUCGUAAAGCUCUGUUGUAAGCGAAGAAGAGUGUUAGGAGUGGAAAAUCUAACACAUGACGGUAGCUUACCAGAAAGGGACGGCUAACUACGUGCCAGCAGCCGCGGUAAUACGUAGGUCUCGAGCGUUGUCCGGAUUUAUUGGGCGUAAAGCGAGCGCAGGCGGUUAGAUAAGUCAGAAGUUAAAGGCUGUGGCUCAACCAUAGUAUGCUUUUGAAACUGUUUAACUUGAGUGCAGAAGGGGAGAGUGGAAUUCCAUGUGUAGCGGUGAAAUGCGUAGAUAUAUGGAGGAACACCGGUGGCGAAAGCGGCUCUCUGGUCUGUGACUGACGCUGAGGCUCGAAAGCGUGGGUAGCGAACAGGAUUAGAUACCCUGGUAGUCCACGCCGUAAACGAUGAGUGCUAGGUGUUAGACCCUUUCCGGGGUUUAGUGCCGUAGCUAACGCAUUAAGCACUCCGCCUGGGGGAGUACGACCGCAAGGUUGAAACUCAAAGGAAUUGACGGGGGCCCGCACAAGCGGUGGAGCAUGUGGUUUAAUUCGAAGCAACGCGAAGAACCUUACCAGGUCUUGACAUCCCUCUGACCGGUCUAGAGAUAGGCUUUCCCUUUUGGGCAGAGGAGACAGGUGGUGCAUGGUUGUCGUCAGCUCGUGUCGUGAGAUGUUGGGUUAAGUCCCGCAACGAGCGCAACCCUUAUUGUUAGUUGCCAUCAUUGAGUUGGGCACUCUAGCGAGACUGCCGGUAAUAAACCGGAGGAAGGUGGGGAUGACGUCAAAUCAUCAUGCCCCUUAUGACCUGGGCUACACACGUGCUACAAUGGUUGGUACAACGAGUCGCAAGCCGGUGACGGCAAGCUAAUCUCUUAAAGCCAAUCUCAGUUCGGAUUGUAGGCUGCAACUCGCCUACAUGAAGUCGGAAUCGCUAGUAAUCGCGGAUCAGCACGCCGCGGUGAAUACGUUCCCGGGCCU